GACGAACGCUGGCGGCGUGCCUAAUACAUGCAAGUCGAACGCUUCUUUCCUCCCGAGUGCUUGCACUCAAUUGGAAAGAGGAGUGGCGGACGGGUGAGUAACACGUGGGUAACCUACCCAUCAGAGGGGGAUAACACUUGGAAACAGGUGCUAAUACCGCAUAACAGUUUAUGCCGCAUGGCAUAAGAGUGAAAGGCGCUUUCGGGUGUCGCUGAUGGAUGGACCCGCGGUGCAUUAGCUAGUUGGUGAGGUAACGGCUCACCAAGGCCACGAUGCAUAGCCGACCUGAGAGGGUGAUCGGCCACACUGGGACUGCGACACGGCCCAGACUCCUACGGGAGGCAGCAGUAGGGAAUCUUCGGCAAUGGACGAAAGUCUGACCGAGCAACGCCGCGUGAGUGAAGAAGGUUUUCGGAUCGUAAAACUCUGUUGUUAGAGAAGAACAAGGACGUUAGUAACUGAACGUCCCCUGACGGUAUCUAACCAGAAAGCCACGGCUAACUACGU
rnacentral:rRNA from 1 species